GCCUGGGUAGCUCAGUCGGCUAAGCGUCUGACUUUGGCUCAGGUCAUGAUCUCGCGGUUCAUGGGUUCAAGCCCCGCAUCAGGCU
rnacentral:tRNA from 1 species